GACGUAGGGCGCGAGCGUUGUCCGGAUUUAUUGGGCGUAAAGAGCUCGUAGGCGGCUCGUUGCGUCAACCGUGAAAACCCGGGGCUUAACUUCGGGCUUGCGGUUGAUACGGGCGGGCUGGAGUUCGGUAGGGGAGACUGGAAUUCCUGGUGUAGCGGUGAAAUGCGCAGAUAUCAGGAAGAACACCCGUGGCGAAGGCGGUCUCUGGUACGGGUACGGAGCUGAGACGCGAAAGCGUGGGGGAGCGAACAGG
rnacentral:rRNA from 1 species